rnacentral:rRNA from 1 species
GAUGAACGCUGGCGGCGUGCCUAAUACAUGCAAGUCGAACGCAUUGUGGUUGAAAUGAUAUGAAGAACUUGUUCAGAUUUAAUUUUCAACAUUGCAAUGAGUGGCGAACGGGUGAGUAACACGUGGGAAACCUACCUCUUAGCAGGGGAUAACAUUUGGAAACAGAUGCUAAUACCGUAUAAUAAUUAAAACCGCAUGGUUUUAGUUUAAAAGAUGGUCUUGCUAUCACUAAGAGAUGGUCCCGCGGUGUAUUAGUUAGUUGGUGAGGUAAUGGCUCACCAAGACAAUGAUACAUAGCCGAGUUGAGAGACUGACCGGCCACAAUGGGACUGAGACACGGCCCAUACUCCUACGGGAGGCAGCAGUAGGGAAUCUUCCACAAUGGACGAAAGUCUGAUGGAGCAACGCCGCGUGUGUGAUGAAGGGUUUCGGCUCGUAAAACACUGUUGUAAGAGAAGAAUGACAUUGAGAGUAACUGUUCAAUGUGUGACGGUAUCUU